rnacentral:rRNA from 1 species
UACGGGGGGGGCAAGCGUUGUUCGGAAUUACUGGGCGUAAAGGGCUCGUAGGCGGCCAACUAAGUCAGACGUGAAAUCCCUCGGCUUAACCGGGGAACUGCGUCUGAUACUGGAUGGCUUGAGUUUGGGAGAGGGAUGCGGAAUUCCAGGUGUAGCGGUGAAAUGCGUAGAUAUCUGGAGGAACACCGGUGGCGAAGGCGGCAUCCUGGACCAACACUGAUGCUGAGGCGCGAAAGCGUGGGGAGCGAACAGG